UAGCUCGGAUUUCUGAAGAGCUCGCAGUUGCCACGGGGCUCAGGCGGUGGAAGCCAAAGGACCAGGAUGGCCCUUCUGGGCGCCGCUCCUCAGUCACGAGGGGCCUCUGGCUCCUGAAACCAUUUCCACGGUUACAAACUUACGCGGAGCUGUUGCAUCACGGAAUGUUAAAUUAUUUCACGGAAUAUAAUAAUUAGCACUGAAAUAUGGUAAGUUGAAUACAAGUGCUCUUGGAAGAUUAUAUAAAGCAGGAGCUACUCAUGAAAAGGUGAGAGAUCAUCUUCAGGAUGAAAAAAUGCCUGCAGCCAGGUCACCAAGAACCCCUGCCAGUCCAACCUCCUAAGUUCCACAGCCACUGGCCUUCAGCGCUCCACCGGGAGGAAGCAGGCAACUGUGUUUUACCUGAAUUGAUUCCUAAUUUUCAAACUGUCUUAGACCAAUAACAGACGUGAUCUUUCUGAGCCUCAGUAACACCAUCUGUCGAGUGCCAUGGUCAUUGUGUGGAUUAGGAAGGAUACAUAAAAGGAGGUGACGGAGAGUUACAGUGGAGCAGGAAAUAUCUUCUGAUUGUUGAAGAGGAUACCGUCAACACAUUCACUAUCAGGAAAGUAUGACACCUCUAGAUCAUUCUACCGGCACUGACGACGUCUCCCCAACAACAUUUUCACUGAAGAAUUCCUCCAGAUUCCUCAGAACUCCUGGCUCUUACUUCUCUAGCUUUGUUUGGAUAAUUUCUUUCACACUGAGAAAGUUAAAUUUCAAUAAAAUCAUACUCAAUGAAACCAGA